rnacentral:rRNA from 1 species
CAGCAGCCGCGGUAAUACGUAGGGUGCAAGCGUUAAUCGGAAUUACUGGGCGUAAAGCGUGCGCAGGCGGUUCUAUAAGACAGAUGUGAAAUCCCCGGGCUCAACCUGGGAACUGCAUUUGUGACUGUAGAGCUGGAGUGCGGCAGAGGGGGAUGGAAUUCCGCGUGUAGCAGUGAAAUGCGUAGAUAUGCGGAUGAACACCGAUGGCGAAGGCAAUCCCCUGGGCCUGCACUGACGCUCAUGCACGAAAGCGUGGGGAGCAAACAGGAUUAGAUACCCCUGUAGUCCCUGUCUCUUAUAA